CGGUACCACAUAAUAUGCGAGAAUACCUUCUCCAGUAUGUUGGAGAGAAGAUUAGCAAGAAAAAGGCGGGUGAGAAAAUGAGAAGUUGACAUAAAAAGAUUUUUUUCAUUAUCGAAAGGGACAUGUACAACAUCCAUAAUGGUGUGUCUGACGGAAUUUGUCAUUUCAUUAAUAAAUAAUGCUGAUAAAGGUGCAAACUUAGCAAUUGUGCCCAAAAAGUGACAGCUUUGACAAGGAAAUAUAUCCAUAUAUAACAGUUACUGGUACUGUCUGAAUGCAGUGAAAGGAUCCAGAUGAACAGAUGAAGAGAUUAAGUACAAUGUACAUCAAUUACUUGGAUGAAGAGAAUCUGCAACAUGGGGAAAUAAUGUUCCUGUAGAAAAGUCAAAGAAUGUAUACAUGUGAGAUUCUGAAGUAGCCAUACAUGAUGAGUAGGAAUUUGAAGUGAAUUAUGGGAAAAGUGAAAUGGUAAAAAAGAAACUGCUAGCGCUACUGUGCAGACUACCAUCAAUCAACAUGAUCAACAAAAUCAAGUAAUCCUUCUGAAGAUGGAGUACUACACAAGCACAAUUUUUUAAAGAAAGAAAAGUCAAUGGAAUGAAAGCCAAAGAAAAGGUGAAGUGAAUUGUCACUCAUUAUAUUUUAAAUUUAAUGUGGACAUGGUCAUUAUUUUAGUUAUGUCAUAACCUUCUUAUCAAUUUUAAGCAGUGCAGACAGAUACAUUUCUUAUUGCUUUGAAUAGAAUAAAUUAUCAAAAAAGUUUGUAUAUGUUUUUUGAUAUUGAAUUAAAAUUAAAAAAAAAAAAAAUCAAUUACUGCAGUUUUGAAUUUCAGUACACUAGAAAUUUUUCUGCCCUGCCAUGAUUAUGGCUGGGGCAUAUAGAGUUUGUCAUGUCCGUCUUCCGUCCUUCCAACCUUCUGUCUGUCCUUCCAUUCCGCUUUGCUUUUAGCUCAGUUCAAAACUAAGUUUCAAAGAAACUAUUCAAGAUAUUUUUAUCAAUCAGCAUAUGCUGAUACAUAUUGAUGAGAGGUAUUCAAUUUCAUCAACAUUUUUUUUACCUUGACGUAUCCUUUAACUUUGACCUCACUUUUCUUAAAUUAGUGUUUAGCUCAGUUUUAAAGAAACCAUUCAAGAUAGUGUAAUCAAACUUCAUAUGCUGAUACAUACUGAAUCAACAUUUUUUUACCUUGACCUUUCCUUUGACCUUGAACGUACUUAUCUUAAAUAAGUGUUUAGCUCAGUUUUAAAGAAACCAUUCAGGAUAGCGUAAUCAAACUUCAUUUGCUGAUACAUACUGAUGAGAGCUAUUCAACUGCAUCAACAUUUUUUGAUCUUGAUCUUUCCUUUGACCUUCACCUCACUUUUCCUAAAUUAGUGUCAAACUUCAUAUGCUGAUACAGACUGAUGUAAGGUAUUCGACUGUAUCAACAUUUUUUACCUUGACAUUUCAUUUGACCUUGACUUCAUUUUUCUUGAAAUAGUGAUUAGCUCAGUGUUAAAUAAACGGUUUCCAUUCAAAAUAUUUUUAUCAAACUUAUUUUGCUUAUGCGUAUUAGUGAGAACUAUUUAACUGCAUCAAAAAUGUAUGACCUUGAACUUUCCUGUGACCUGGACCUCACUUUUCUUAAAUUUGCAUUUUGCUUAGUUUUAAAGAAACCAUUAAAGAUAAUUUUAUGUGAGCUUAUGCACUUAACAGAAUUUGGUGAGAAUUUAUCAUCUAUAUCCAACUUCUUUGAUUUCAAUGUUAAAGAAACUAUUUUAAAAUAUUCUCAUCAAAUUUCAUACACUAAAAAUAUUUUUGUGUUGCAUUACUAAUAUGCCCACAUGAUGCAGUGGUUAAAGCUCUAGAGUUGCGGAGUAAGGAGUUGAUCCUUAUGUCGCUGGUUCGAAUCCCACUGUGGGACGUGGAGACCGUAUAAACCGAGGUCCCAUGUCACAGUAGGUGUUGGCACGAAAAAGAUCCCUCACUGCUUAAUGGCCCUUAGUGCCGAGUAUAGGUCAAAAUUUGCAGCUCUCCACUGGCAAGUGGUGGCGUCUCCAUAUGAGUGAAAAAUUCUCGAGAGGGAUGUUAAACAAUAAACAAGCAAAUAAAAAUUAAUAUACCCUCAGCGGGGCAUUCAUGUCCUAUGGACAUAUUUCUAGUUUUGCCCUCUUGUACAUUUGUACAUGGAUAUACUUUUUAUUUUUGCUCUGUAAACAACAACAAAAACAUUAUACCAUAUAAUAUGCACAAAAUUAUAUGCUAGGAAUGUAUUGUGAAAGAUGCAUUUCAGCUGACAAAUGUAGCAUUUUUAAGCCAGCUUUUUAAAUUUUUUUCUGAAUGACUUUCAGGUACUUCUUUUAUAUUUGCAACUCAUUUAUAGGGAUGUAUUAGUAUGGUAGCCUGUCUGCCAACACCUUGUAGAUGAGAUUCUAGCACAAAUUGUGUGAAAUGGUUCUCUUAAUUGACAUGAGAAGGUCACCAUUUUUUAUCAAGAUAAAAAUUACUUGUAUGUCUUGUAAUAACAUUAUUUAAUAUAUCCCUUUCAUAGCACACAUGUUCCUUUCAAAGAGAAGAAAACAUUUAUAAUUUUUCAAGGUCAAUAAUCUCAUGGAUGAAAUGCAAACUGUACUAUUUGAAAUAGGUGGUAUAGGUAUUUCAGAGUCUGUUUUACAUCUUGCCAGUUUAUUGUUUGAGGGAAUAUUCUCAUCAAAUAAACUAUGUAAAGAUUUGCUUUUUAAUGCAAAGUAUUUUUAUAAGUAAUAACUUCAUUUCAACUUACAAUGAACAGUUAAUCAAUGCAUCUCACUUUGUAUAUAAUGCAUUUUAGAACACAGUUUUGUGGUUUAAAACAUGUUGUAAUAAUUUAAUAAUGCUAUUCAUUUUUUUUAAUUGACAAGAAAUGAAAAUGUAAUGAUUAUUUCAAAAUAGUGUUUUAUUCCUCUUAUGUAUAUUUAUAGAUAUGUAAAAGAUUGUUAUUUUUAUUGAUGUUAUGUUUGUGUACAAAAUACUAGUUAUUUAUUACUUUAUACAAAACUAAUGUUGUGAAGAUUGAUAAUAAUAGAAGUCCUUAUGCAUAUAUUGAACAGUAUACAAAUGUCACCAAUGUAAUUUACAAAUAAAAUGAAAUUUUACAUGACUUGCACAUAUUUGCAUUAUUUGUUACAGUUAUAACAAAUCUAAUUCAUUGUAUUUAUGGUUUCCAAUUUUUAUUGUCUAUUCAAACAUGGAAAAAUUAUAUAUGUAAUGAUGUUAAAGACACAAGAAUAUGAAUUAAAAUAAGACUGUAUGAACUACCUUUAGAUUUAUGAAUUCAGUAGACAGUGACUGUGACAAAUGUGUAUUUAGGAUAGAGAUCUUAGACAUGAGAAGAAAAGGGGUUGUUUUACAAACUUUUUUUUGCAUGGGGAAAUAUUGACAUUUUUAUACAACAACAAAUGAAGUUACUGGAAUUGUGAAGUCUACGUGUCUUCUGUGAGUAGACAUCUUUUGAAACAAAGGUAGCUUGUGGCCAGAAAUAUUCUAGACCCAGUAGUAACGGUCUUUUGCACAAGGUCAUAGUCACUGUAUAUCAAAGUAUUAAAUACUUACCAAUAAUUGUUUGUAACCUCAGAGUAUGGUCCUAACACAGGUUAAUACAGGUCAAGGCCAUAGGGUUUAGAAAUGUAAUAAAUAUUCAGAUAAACACAUAAUUCUGUU